GCGACGGCCGUUGAGUGAGAGGCACCGAGGAGGGGGCCCUGGCCUGGGAGGGCGCUGCCCUUGCUCCAGUCCUCCGACCCUGGCAGCAGGCUACUUGGGCCGCUGAGGCUUCAAACCGUGGCCUCUCGGCGGCAUCGCCCUCCUGCCGCCGUGACUUAGCAAGAAAAGUAUUCUUGGGUGGGAAGGGCGUGGAUAGCAGGUCGCUCUCUGAUCUUGGGGAAAGGGCUCAGCCCUCCUGGGCCGCGGAAACGAACCCGCAGUCCCCACCCCUCCGCGGCUGGCGGCUCGCCGCCGGGGCUCCAGCAGCUACCAGGCCUUCCAGGCGUCCGGUUCUCCACUUGUCCUUAGGUUGGUGGUCGAACUGAAGAGGAUGGUCGGCCGCGCAGGCCCUUGGCCCCCCGGUGCGGUAGGAGUCCAGGCUCUGCACUCACUAAAGAUCUGCAGCAUCCACCCACCGAAUCGGGCAGGAUUUUCCUUUUUGCUACUGACUCCUCGCACGGGAGUUGCCUUUUGACGUUGCUAACACUGAGCUAGUUCCUAGGUUCUCUGCCAUUCCCUUCAUCCCAUCUCUCUACUCUAUUAGGAAACGCCGUGACUAUUUAUUUACUGUCUCUAGCUUCCCAGGUGAGAAAAAA
rnacentral:lncRNA from 1 species